AAAUUUUUUAUGAUUUGAAAAAUUUAUUAUGAAUUUAUUUUACAUAUAAAUUUUAGUGAGAAAAUAUAAUUAUUUAAAUAAUAAUUAUUUAAUUAAUGUAGUAAUUAACUUUAAAAAUUUAAGGAAUUAAGAUUUAGUAAUAUAUAAUAUUAAUAACAAAUUUUGUGCCAGCAGUUGCGGUUAAACAAAAAUUAAUUUAAAUUUUUUUAGUAAUUAAUAAAUAAUAAAUAAAAAAUUAUUAGGUGAAAUUUUAAUUUAUAAAAAAAUUUAAAUAAAUUAUGAUUUAAUAAAUUAAUAAAUAAACUAGGAUUAGAUACCCUAUUAUUAAAAUUUAAAUUAAAAAUACUAAAAUAGUAUGUAUUUAAAUAUAUUGAAACUUAAAUAAUUUGGCGGUAUUUUAGUUCAUUUAGAGGAAUCUGUUUAAUAAUUGAUAAUCCACGAAUAAAUUUACUUAAUUUUUUUUUCUUUGUAUAUCGUUGUUAAAAAAAUAUUUUUUAAAAAUAAUAAUAUUUUAAAAUUAAAAUAAAAAAUUAAAUCAAAUCAAGAUGCAGGUAAUAAUUAAGAAUAUAAUGGAUUACAAUAAAAAUAUUUAUAUGAAUAAUUAAUUGAAAAAUUAAUUUAAAGGUGGAUUUAAAUGUAAUUAUUUUUAGUUUAAAAUAAUGAUUAAAAUUUAAAAUAUGUACAUAUUGCCCGUCGCUUUCAUUUAAAAAUUGAAAUAAGUCGUAACAAAGUAGAAGUACUGGAAAGUGUUUCUAGAAAGAU
rnacentral:ncRNA from 1 species